GAUGAACGCUAGCGGGAGGCUUAAUACAUGCAAGUCGAGCGGCAAGGUCUUCGGACCCUAGAGCGGCGCACGGGUGAGUAACGCGUACGCAAUCUGCCCUUCAGUGAGGAAUAGCCCUGGGAAACUGGGAUUAAUACCUCAUAAUAUUAGAGUAUCGCAUGGUACUUUAAUUAAAGUUCUGGCGCUGAAGGAUGAGCGUGCGUCUGAUUAGCUAGUUGGUAGGGUAACGGCCUACCAAGGCUACGAUCAGUAGGGGGCGUGAGAGCGUGACCCCCCACACGGUACUGAGACACGGACCCGACUCCUACGGGAGGCAGCAGUAAGGAAUAUUGGGCGAAU
rnacentral:rRNA from 1 species